UGGGUCUAAUUGUCUAUUUUCGAAUGCAGGU
rnacentral:piRNA from 1 species